AAGACGCAGAGGUAUGAAUAGUGUUAACCAGAGCAGCUGUUGCCAGUGCAGUCCGGGGUGUGAUGAUGAAUCUGCAUCACUCCAUUGUCUUCUUGGCUUCCUGCUUCUACUGGUCCACCGCAGCAAGCUGGGACCCAACAUGCUGUCUGAAAAAGUUAAAUGGAAACAUACCUAAGAGAAGAAUUGUCAGGUACACCAUCCAGACAGCAGGACCUUGUCCUUUUGAAGCAAUUAUAUUUCAGACAAAAUGUGGUCGAAAGUUGUGUUAUGGUCUAAACAUGGACAAGGCUAUGGAGGUAAAAAACAUUAUAGAUGAAAAAAGACAGAAGGCAGUAAGCAGCGCAGAGGUCUCGCCAAACUGCAAACGCAGCCCCGGAAAACGCAAAAGAAGGAGACAGCAGAAGGGGAAGCCAAAGAAGCAGUAAAAGCAACAACAGCGAAAUUCCUGUUUCUAGUGUUACAGUAUCUUAAUCGGAAGCAAUGUGCUUUCAGAAAUGCUGGCUCUCAAAUAUUUUAUCUUACUUAGAUUAAGCUAAGGAAUACAUAGUAGAAAUACUAAUUCUGCAGAUUAAAGUGGUUGACAAAGUCUAAGGACUAGUUCUGCAGAUGAAUUAAGUAUUGGACGAAAUUAUGCUGUUUGAGGAUUUGUCAUUUUAAACUAGGCCUAAUCAGUUUCCUUAAAACUGUCUCUUUAAUCUCUUUUAUAAUCCCUAAUUCUGUCUUGAUUACAAAUCUAGCAUUUGUUUAUGAACGCUGUGCAUAGCUUUCAUUUUCUAAACUAAACUAUAAUGUGUACUUUUUAAUAUGCUUCUUGCAUGUCUGUAAUACUUAUAACAUUUUAUAAGUUAUAAAGUUUUUCUUUAGGUUUUUAAGAUUACUGCCUUUCCCCUGUUUUGUAUGAUAAAAUGUACCCUCCUAUUAAGCACAGUAUGGUAUUGCAAAGUGUAAGGAAUUUUCAGCAUUUGGUCUAAAUCCAAGACAUCCUGCCUGUUUGAGUUUUAUUUGUAUGAAUUUAGUUAGAACAAGCCAGUGACGCAGCUGCCUUUUUUUUUUUUACAUAGAAAAGAGCUAGUGGUCACUGAGAGAGAACUUGUUGACAUCAUUUUGAACCACAAAGCACACACAUUUUAAUAAGUUAACUGAACUUCAAUGAAAUUAAAUAAAUAAUUAAAUGUAAAUGUAAAUGUAGUUUAAUUGUCAGCUUCAGAUUAUAGUCUUAGAUUCUUUUAUCUUAUAAUAAGAUAUUCGGUAUCAAUAAAAAUGACCCUAUUAGCAAUUUA